rnacentral:lncRNA from 1 species
GUAAACCAUCAUAUUCAUAAGGAAGCGUAGCAUCCCUUCUGAUCACAACAUUGGCAACAACCUCAUAAGUGCUGGUCCAAGGGGAUCCGAGCCCGCAAUUAUGUCUGGACAACUGAGAUAAUUGCUGCCUUAGCAACAGGAGUUUCAGGACCAGUCCAUGCAUAUAGAAGCACAUCCAUACCAAUCUGAAAAAUGAUUAUUUUAGGAACAUGAAAACAAAAUAGGAUUUAAAUAUAUAAACAGGGAUGAGAAGAUCUACUAGUAUUUCAUCUUGAUGGGAUUUGGAGCUUUUUGCAGGGGGGCUUUGCAAUAACUCUUCUACGAACAAAGGGC